UUUCCGGUUGAUCCCGCCGGAGGUUACUGCUAUCGGUGUUCGCCUAAGCCAUGCGAGUCAUAUGUAGCAAUACAUGGCGUACUGCUCAGUAACACGUGGAUAACCUGCCCUUGGGACCGGCAUAACCCCGGGAAACUGGGGAUAAUUCCGGAUAACGCAUAUUUGCUGGAAUGCUUUAUGCGUCAAAAGGAUUCGUCUGCCCAAGGAUGGGUCUGCGGCCUAUCAGGUAGUAGUGGGUGUAAUGUACCUACUAGCCAGCGACGGGUACGGGUUGUGAGAGCAAGAGCCCGGAGAUGGAUUCUGAGACAUGAAUCCAGGCCCUACGGGGCGCAGCAGGCGCGAAAACUUUACAAUGCGGGAAACCGUGAUAAGGGGACACCGAGUGCCAGCAUCAUAUGCUGGCUGUCCGGAUGUGUAAAAUACAUCCGUUAGCAAGGGCCGGGCAAGACCGGUGCCAGCCGCCGCGGUAACACCGGCGGCCCGAGUGGUGAUCGUGAUUAUUGGGUCUAAAGGGUCCGUAGCCGGUUCGGUCAGUCCUCCGGGAAAUCUGAUAGCUCAACUAUUAGGCUUUCGGGGGAUACUGCCAGACUUGGAACCGGGAGAGGUAAGAGGUACUACAGGGGUAGGAGUGAAAUCUUGUAAUCCCUGUGGGACCACCUGUGGCGAAGGCGUCUUACCAGAACGGGUUCGACGGUGAGGGACGAAAGCUGGGGGCACGAACCGGAUUAGAUACCCGGGUAGUCCCAGCCGUAAACGAUGCUCGCUAGGUGUCAGGCAUGGCGCGACCGUGUCUGGUGCCGCAGGGAAGCCGUGAAGCGAGCCACCUGGGAAGUACGGCCGCAAGGCUGAAACUUAAAGGAAUUGGCGGGGGAGCACAACAACGGGUGGAGCCUGCGGUUUAAUUGGAUUCAACGCCGG
rnacentral:rRNA from 1 species